ensembl:lncRNA novel transcript, antisense to C16orf88
CUUAGUGGCUGGGUGACCCCAGGCAAUUUUAUUACUUUAUCCCUGAACCUCAGUUGCCUCAUCUAUAAGAUGGGGCUAAUAAUAGCACCCAUUUCAUAAUUAUGAAGAUUAAAUACAUUAAGGAAAACACUAGUAUGUCCCUAGUACCUGCUAAACACUCAACAAAAGUUAACUGUACAUACUGAUGUCUCAAACAGGGACGGAAUGUUUAACACAGAAAACAGGAGGUUUUAGCACUCACUCGUUCUCCUGGCUCCCGAAAUAUGAGCUGCCCUGCCCCAGUUCAUCCAAGCCCAUCAAUAUAGUUGUCCUCGUCCUUAAUCUCCACAGGUGUUCAAUGUGAGCCAACUGUCAGAUGGCUUUCAUUUGCACAACUGAAUAAACCAUUUAUGCCUAGUGUUCCAUUACUGGAACGCUAAGCUUAUGGGAGUUAUUUAUAUCUUACUGCUCGAGGUCCUCACCAAGAUCUGAUUUUUUCACAAAAAAAAUUUGUAAUCUCCAGCAUAAAUGGAAUAAUCAAAGCAAUUGUGGCAGUUUUGGGGGGACAAAACUCUAGAGUUUAAUCUUCCAGCUUGACUGACUUGGAAGCGUUCCUGUCAAUGUAAAAGAUCUUGUUGGGGGCGGUGGAGAAGCCGAGGCCGGCUCCCCGGCUGUACUUCCAGCUCAUGGCCCGGUCGUAGUCCCGCUGCAGAUUCUGCUGCAGGCUGUCAGCCGCCUUCUUGCCGAGGGCCAUGUUGGGCCUUGCAAUCGUGCUGGCGGGGCGGCUGAACGAAGGGGACAGGUUCUACAUGCUCCUCGCAAAGGGUGCUGACACCCUUCUUUUUCUUCUUCUUUUUCUUCACUAGAGGCAUCUCAGGUGCCUGCCCAUGGGCCACACUCUUAGAGGGGGAUGUAGCUCUUAAAGGAGAAACAUCAGCAAAGUAAUCAUCAUUGUUUAAAACUGAGUAUCGAGUCUCUGGUUCUUUGACCACUUUCUUCUUCUUUUUCUUCUCUGGGAGCCCAAGGUCUACUUUGUGUGUCUUGGUGAUCAUUCCUGAAAAAACAAAUGGUACAAGUUAUCCCAUACCAAGCCAUCCUGUGUUCAAUUCUACUAAGCAUUGCCAAGAGCCAUGUUUCUUUGAGUGGGUGGUCAAAGCGUUGUGGGACAGGGAAAAUGGACAUGAUUCCUUUAAAGCAAAAAAAGAAAUACUACAGAAACAGCGUAAAUUUUAAAUCCACACAGCCCUAGGUUCAAACCUAAAUGCCUCUCUCACCUUAAGUAAAUCAGCUAACCUCCCUGAGCCUCAAUUUCUCCAUCUGGAAAAUGGGGGAAUAUAACACCUCCCUCCUCAAAAGGGUGUUGGAGGGAGUAAAUGAGAUAACCCAUGGAAAGGGCUUGG